rnacentral:lncRNA from 1 species
AUGUCUUCUAUUCUGAAUUUUGUAACUACACAUAGCAAGCAAGAGGUUGCAUCUUCUUUGCUAAGCUUGAAAGGUUGUUUGAUUAUUGUUUUCAUUUUCCUUUCUUGAUCUUCUUCAAAGUUUUUUUUUCUUCUUCCAUUUAUCAACUAUUUGUUAGUCAAACUAACAAAUAAAGUUGACGAGGGUGUGACAUUUGUUCCGGCUACGAGAACAGAUCUGAUGCGUAUGCACUUUUCAUUAGGGGGCGUUUGUUUCAGGGAUUCAUAAAUUAAUCCCAGGAAUAACUUACCUGGGAAUAAAGUAGUGGGAAGUUUAUUCCUGGGUAUUUUAAAAAAAAGUGUUUGGUUAGUAUUUUAAUUUUUCAGGAAUAUUUUCAAAAAAUGUUCCCAUAAAUAGCUAAUUGUUGUUUAGUUUAGAAUAUAUAUUCCUAGAAAAAACAUGAUACAGUUACAAAAAUACCUCUACCUUGUUUCUAAAUCAAUUUGAAUUUAUUUUACUACAUUUUAUUUUCAUUAUAACUUGAAGCAUUUGAAAAUACACCAUGAAAUAAAAUUAUGUUU